rnacentral:rRNA from 1 species
UGAAGGCUGAAAUUCGCCUUCAUGAAGCUGGAAUUGCUAGUAAUGGCAGGUCAGCGUACUGCCGUGAAUACGUUCCCGGGCCUUGUACACACCGCCCGUCACACCAUGAGAGUUGGAAAUACCCGAAGCCUGUGAGCUAACUUUUAGAGGCAGCAGUCGAAGGUAGAGCCAAUGAUUGGGGUGAAGUCGUAACAAGGUAUC